rnacentral:rRNA from 1 species
UACGAAGGGGGCUAGCGUUGCUCGGAAUUACUGGGCGUAAAGCGCACGUAGGCGGUCUUUUAAGUCGGGGGUGAAAUCCUGGAGCUCAACUCCAGAACUGCCUUCGAUACUGGAAGACUCGAGUCCGGGAGAGGUGAGUGGGAACUGCGAGUGUAGAGGUGAAAUUCGUAGAUAUUCGCAAGAACACCAGUGGCGAAGGCGGACUCGCUGGCCCGUA